GACGAACGCUGGCGGCGUGCCUAAUACAUGCAAGUCGAACGAGAGCAACCGGUGCUUGCACUGGUCAAUCUAGUGGCGAACGGGUGAGUAACACGUGGGUAACCUGCCCAUCAGAGGGGGAUAACAUCCGGAAACGGAUGCUAAAACCGCAUAGGUCUUCGAACCGCAUGGUUUGAAGAGGAAAAGAGGCGCAAGCUUCUGCUGAUGGAUGGACCCGCGGUGCAUUAGCUAGUUGGUGAGGUAACGGCUCACCAAGGCCGUGAUGCAUAGCCGACCUGAGAGGGUGAUCGGCCACAUUGGGACUGAGACAAGGCCCAAACUCCUACGGGAGGCAGCAGUAGGGAAUCUUCCGCAAUGGACGCAAGUCUGACGGAGCAACGCCGCGUGAGUGAAGAAGGUUUUCGGAUCGUAAAACUCUGUUGUUAGAGAAGAACAAGUGCUAGAGUAACUGUUAGCGCCUUGACGGUAUCUAACCAGAAAGCCACGGCUAACUACGUG
rnacentral:rRNA from 1 species